AGUCGAGGGGAAACGACAUCGAAAGCUUGCUUUUGAUGGGCGUCGACCGGCGCACGGGUGAGUAACGCGUAUCCAACCUGCCCACCACUUGGGGAUAACCUUGCGAAAGUAAGACUAAUACCCAAUGACGUCUCUAGAAGACAUCUGAAAGGGAUUAAAGAUUUAUCGGUGAUGGAUGGGGAUGCGUCUGAUUAGCUUGUUGGCGGGGUAACGGCCCACCAAGGCUACGAUCAGUAGGGGUUCUGAGAGGAAGGUCCCCCACAUUGGAACUGAGACACGGUCCAAACUCCUACGGGAGGCAGCAGUGAGGAAUAUUGGUCAAUGGACGAGAGUCUGAACCAGCCAAGUAGCGUGCAGGAUGACGGCCCUAUGGGUUGUAA
rnacentral:rRNA from 1 species